UACGUAGGGACCAAGCGUUGUUCGGAUUUACUGGGCGUAAAGGGCGCGUAGGCGGCGUGUUAAGUCACUUGUGAAAUCUCUAAGCUUAACUUAGAACGGUCAAGUGAUACUGAUGUGCUAGAGUGCAGAAGGGGCAGCCGGAAUUCUUGGUGUAGCGGUGAAAUGCGUAGAUAUCAAGAGGAACACCUGAGGUGAAGACGGGUUGCUGGGCUGAACACUGACGCUGAGGCGCGAAAGCUAGGGUAGCAAACGGG
rnacentral:rRNA from 1 species